rnacentral:rRNA from 2 species
UUGUGCCGGCGACGGUCCACUCGAUUUUCUGCCCUAUCAUGGUUGAGAUUGUAAGAUAGAGGCUUACAAUGCCUACAACGGGUAACGGGGAAUUAGGGUUCGAUUCCGGAGAGGGAGCCUGAGAAACGGCUACCACAUCCAAGGAAGGCAGCAGGCGCGCAAAUUACCCAAUCCCGACACGGGGAGGUAGUGACAAUACAUAACAAUGCAGGGCCUUUAAGGUCUUGCAAUUGGAAUGAGUACAAUUUAAAUCCCUUAACGAGGAUCAAUUGGAGGGCAAGUCUGGUGCCAGCAGCCGCGGUAAUUCCAGCUCCAAUAGCGUAUAUUAAAGUUGUUGCAGUUAAAACGUCCGUAGUCAAACUUUAGUCUUACCGGCGUAGUGGCCUGGUCUUCAUUGACCAAGCUCAUUGCUGCCGGAGACUCCAUGUCCAUUGACUCCUAGUCCUCGUGGCUAGGGUUUUCUGGACAAUUACCAUGAGCAAAUCAGAGUGUUUAAAGCAGGCUUUUAAGCUUGAAUGUGUUAGCAUGGAAUAAUGAAAUAUGACUUUAGUCCUAUUUUCGUUGGUUUAGGUACUUCAGUAAUGAUGAAUAGAAACGGUUAGGGGCAUUUGUAUUUGGUCGCUAGAGGUGAAAUUCUUGGAUUGACCGAAGACAAACUACUGCGAAAGCAUUUGACCCGGGACGUUUUCAUUGAUCAA